rnacentral:snoRNA from 1 species
UAGGUGUUACUUGAUGAAGCAAAUGUAUCAGGCAAGUUCACACUGAUCAUUCAUGACGACUAUUACAUCUAAACGUCUUUCGCUCCUAUCUGACUCACCAA